AAGUGAUAUCAAAGCAAGCCUUGGAUUAUUGACCCAUGCCAAACACCUCGAAAAGGGUAAGCAAGGUGGCGACCUUGGUGAUAAGAGUGUCAUGAGGUUGAGCGAGAGAGAAUGUCACGCCAAGCACUCCAAGAGAAAGUAGACAGGGUACUCUAAUCCCAUAUCAGACAUAAAAGAAAGGUAGAUAGGGUAUUCCAAUCCUACCUCAAGGCACUAUCUACAAGUCAGGUUGUGUGGAAAUGCAGCCUUAAUCAUGCGAUAAAUUUCAUCCAAGGCUGAAUCUAAGUGAGAGACUAAUAGCAAACAAGUACCAUGAGAGAAAAAUGAAAAGGAUUUUGAAAAAAGAGUCAAAGAGUGCUUGAAAUUGUCAAAAGAAAAGUGGAUAGGGGUCAACAAUGCACCCUAGUCAGAUGUGGAACAAUGAGAGUUAGUCCACCAAUCUGCUCGAGAUGUGGAUUGACAUGGCCCAUGGCAUUAGCCUAAGCCUAAGUUUUCAAUAUGCCCAUGGAGACAUCAUCACUGUGAUUAUGGAAUGCAACACACACCAUCUUGUCAUGCCCUAGCAUCAGUGUGCUCUUAGCAUCAACCUACAAGCUCUCCAUCUGACCUGUCUUGAAACACGAACCAAAAAGUUUGACAUAUAUGUGAGUCAAUAAGCUAGAAAACCCAUAAAGCAUAAAGAAGUUGAUUGGUAGGACCUUCAUGGUGCAUUAUCGACUGACCUUGAUCUUCUAAUAAGGGUUCAAGUGCAAGCAUGUCUACCCAGACUUGAAAGAUAAUGAACUAUGCCUAAGUGGGGCAAAACCAAAAGAAACUCUGGUAGAGGCCCGUAGUGAUACUGACGUGCAAAUCGUUCAUCUGACUUGGGUAUAAGGCUAAAAUACUAAUCGAAUCGUCUAGUAGCUAGUUUUUUUUUUAAGUUUCCCUUAGGAUAGCUAAGCCUUUAGAGAGUUUUAUUGGGCAAAGCCAAUGAUUAGAGGUAUCAGGGGAACAAUACCCUUGAACUAUUCUCAAACUUUAAAUAGGUAGAACAUGAUGCUGCUUCAUUGAGCCCCACCAUGGAAUCGAGAGCUUCUAGUAAGCCAUUUUUGGUAAGCAAAACUAGUGAUGCAAGAUGAAUCGAAAGUCGGGUUAUAGUGCCUAACUACACGAUAACCUAGAACCCACAAAAGGUGUUGGUCGAUUAAGACAGCAAGACAGUGGUCAUGGAAGUUAAAAUUUGCUAAGAAGUGUGUAACAACUCACCUGCCUAAUCAACUAGCCCUGAAAAUUGAUGGUGCUUAAGUGCAUGACCUAUACCCAGCCAUUAAGGUAAAGGUUAUACCUCGAUGAGUAAGAGGCAUGAUGGUCAUUGCAAAACCCAAGGCACAAGCCUGGGCGAAGUGACCAUCGAUGCAAAUCUUGGUGGUAGUAGCAAAUAUUCAAAUGAGAACUUUGAAGGCCAAAGAAGGAAAAGGUUCCAUGUGAAUGGCACUUGCACAUGGGUUAGUCAAUCCUAAGAGAUGGAGGAAGCCUAUCCGAUAGUGCAUCUGGCGUGAGCUUUGAAAGGGAAUCGAGUUAAAAUUUUUGAAUCAGGACAUGGCAGCUAACAGCAACAUUAAAGAGUUCAGAGACAUCAGUAAGGGCCUUAGGAAUAGUUAUCUUUUCUAUUUAAUGACCUACCUACCCUUGAAAUGGUUCAGCAAGAGGUAGGGUCCAGUAGCCAAAAGAGCACUACAUGUCACAUGGUGUCUAAUGUGCCCCUGGUGGUGCUUGAAAAUUCAGAAGAUCGAGUGCCAUCCAUGUCGAGUCAUACUUAUAAUCGCAUCAGGUCUUCAAGGUGAAUAGCCUCUGGUCGAUGUAAUAAUAUAGGUAAGGGAAGUCGACAAAAUGGAUCUGUAACCUUGGGAAAAGGAUUGGCUCUAAAAGCUGGACAUAGGGGUCCUAAUCCCAAACCCGUUGACUGUUGGUGUACUACUCGAGCUACUCCUAUGAUGAGAGUGGGUCACUACAUCCCGAUCGAAGGAUGGACUGGGAAUAGCUCCCUCGAGGACCUUUCUUGGGUACAAAUAGCCAAUUCAAAACUGGUAUAGAUAAGGUGUAUUCAAUUGUUUAAUUAAAACAAAACAUUGCGACGAUCUCUGCGGAUGCUCAUACAAUGUGAUUUUUGCCUAGUGCUCUGAAUGUCAAAGUGAAAAAAUUUAACCAAGCACAGGUAAAUGGCAUGAAUAACUAUUACUUUCUUAAUGUAGCCAAAUGCCUCGUCAACUAAUUAGUGACGAGCAUGAAAGGAUUAACGAGAUUCCCACUAUCCUUGUCUACUAUCCAGUAAAACCAUAACCAAGGGAAUGAGCUUGGCAAAAUCAGUAGGGAAAGAAGACUCCAUUGAGCUUGACUCUAGUCUAACUUUGUGAAAUGACUUGAGAGGUGUAGGAUAAGUGGGAGCCCACGAGCGAAAAUAAAAUACCACUACUUUUAACAUUAUUUUACUUAUUUCAUGAAUCAGAGGUGGGGCACGACCUUUUUUUUUAACCUAAAGCCAACUUCGAUCGGUUGAUCCAAGUGAAAACAUUGUUAGGUGGGGAAUUUGGCUAGGGUGGCACAUCUAUUAAAAGAUAACAUAGGUGUCCUAAGAUGAGCUCAACAAAAAUAGAAAUCUCAUAUAGAACAAAAAGGUAAAAGCUCAUUUGAUUUUGAUUUUCAGUACGAAUACAAACCAUGAAAGUGUGGCCUAUCGAUCUUUUAGACCUUUAAAAUUUGAAGGUAGAGGUGUCAAAAAAGUUACCUUAGGGAUAAUUGGCUAAUGGCAGCCAAGCGUUCAUAGCAACGUUAUUUUUUUAUCCUUCAAUGUCAACUCUUCCUAUCAUUGUGAAGCAGAAUUCACCAAGUGUUGGAUUGUUCACCCACUAAUAGAGAAUGUCAGCUAGGUUUAGAUCAUUAUGAGAUAGGUUAGUUUUACCUUACUGAUGGUAGGGUCUUAAUAGCAAUUUCAUCUAGUACAAGAGGAAUCAUUGAUUCGUACAAUUGGUUAUCACACUUGGUUGAAAAACCAGUGGCACAAAGCUACCGUGUGUUGGAUUAUGACUGAACACCUCUAAGUCAGAAUCUAUGCUAAAAGUGAUGCACAUGCCCGUCACUCGAUUGUCGACCCAUAGUAAAGGCCAUGGCCUUCAAGGGCAUGUGUCGUAGGUGCAACCCUCACAGGGGACAAACUGCACAAGCCUCUUUGGAGCUUAAUUCCCACU
rnacentral:rRNA from 1 species